GCGCCUACUAGUGUGAGCUAGGCAAGACAAACCCUUAACUUCUUACUUCAUUAAUCAACUACUCCUUUUUAACAAAUGUAAGGCGAUAACAGAAAAGCAGCGGAAAUUUAAAUAAUUAAGCGAAAGAUAACAAUUAAAUAUCUGAAAUCUACAUCUCAACCACCCAAAACCUGGUUUCACAAUGUCACAGACAGUCUAAGAUUUACUACAUACAAAGUCUGAAGAAAUAAUAAUACACUGUUUCUGAAUAAAAGGAAAAUGAAACAGGAAAUAGGGAUAGAGGGAGACGCCAGGGCCUGCGGACGCCUACAGGUCUACCUUGGAUCUCCACGUGAACUGGAGGUAGCCUCCACACUACGGUCCGAAAGCUACUCCGGGAUCUGCACACAGUGCAGAGUGUAGUAUCAGCACAACCAACCCCAUGUGCUGCUAAGUGUCUAGCCUAACCUCGGCGAAGUAGUGACGAGGCUAGGACCAAACUACCAAACAAACCUGUGCAGUUCAAAUAUAUAUAUAUAGUAGACAAGAAAUGCAAAAAUAACCAGUCAAUAUGGGAGGGGGAACAUGCUGUGGGGGACAUAACAGUUUUGAAUAGAAAGACAUCAAGUAAGGAAAGAAUCAAUAUAACUCGGAUAUCAACAAAGAAUCAGAAAUCAACAAAUGCAUGGCAUCACCCUUUGUGCUUUUACUCUCGUCCUCACCAAAGCAGUUAUAUAAUAAAAAUGUGCACGACAUCACCCUUCGUGUUUUUACUCUCUUUCCUCACCAUGUAGUCAAUAAAAUUGGCACGAAAUGGUACAUCGUGCGGCACGACAUCACCCUUCGUGCUUUACACUCUUUCCUCACAAUAACAAACAAUGUACGACAUCACCCUUCGUGCUUUAACACUUUUCCUCACCCAAACAACAAUUACAGCAAUGGGGCAAGGGAAUAAAUGAAAUUGCAAUAAAGAUCCCGACAAGGGAAUAACAAUUCAAUAAAUAAAUCCCGGCAAGGGAACAUCAUCAAUAACCUCAACAUCCCGGCAAGGGAGAUAAUGAAUAAAUCAACAAAAGCCCGGCAAGGGCGACAACAUAAUGAUCACUUAUACUUUCACAAUUCGUUAUACAACUUGAGCCAACGCUCCUCAAUGUUCAUAGGUCAUAAUUACUUCCACAAACUUUAUACAACAAGUAGAAACCAUUACCAAGGCAUGAUAGAUACAACGAAGUCAUGAUAAUCACAAUAUAAGACUCACAUGUAUGCUAGAUACCAACGUAUAGAUACUCAUCACCAUGUCUAUACGUCGUACUCAACAAUUACCACAUAGCAAAUAGGACUCGACUCCUAAUCCCUUAAGCUAAGGUUAGACCAAACACUUACCUCGAUGCCACGAACGCAAUUCACGAUUCAAUUAUAGCUUUUCCCCUUGAUUCCACCACCAAUUCGCGCGUAUCUAGUCACAAGUUACUUAAUUACAUCAAUAAAUACUAAAUGAACCAAUUUGAAUGCAUGAAAAUGAGUUUUCUAAAGUUUUACCCAAAAAUUCAAAAAUCGCCCCCGAUCCCACAUGGUCAAAACCCGAGAUUCGAACCAAAACCUGAUUACCCAUUCCCCCCACGAAGUCAAAUAUAUAAUUUGUUUUGAAAUCAGACCUCAAAUCAAGGUCCAAAUCCCCAAUUUUUGAAAAACAGAGGUUCUACCCAAAACACCUAAUUUCCCCUAUGAAAAUCAUUGAUUUUGAGUUGAAAUCAUGUUAAAAGAUGUUAAGGAGUGAAGAAAAUGAGUUAGAAAUCACUUACCAACGUUUUGGAGAAGAAAGGUUGUUUGAAAAAUCACCUCUUAUGUUUUUGGGGUUUUAAAAAAUAAAAAAUAACUGAAAAUCCCGUCUAAAUAUACCCCUCUCAGACCCCCUGUGCGGACCGCACAAAAUGGAGUACGGCCGCACAGCUCACCAGGUUGACUACAGGGAAAUGCUCUAGUAUUUUGGCCAUAACUUUCUCUACAGAUGUCCAAAUUGUGAUUUCUUCAACCUUCUGGAAACUAGACACGAAGGGCUAGAACUUUCAUUUUUCGAAUCAUCUCAAAAUUCCUUGUAGAUCAAAAGAUAUGGGCUUCCGAAGUCGGACCAGUGAAACGUUCUUCACUGCGGACCGCACAGAAUCUAGUGCGGCCGCACAGGCCCACACCGCGGUCCGCACAAGCCCCUUCGCGGUAGCAUUCCUUUUUGUGCGGACCGCACUGGUCAGUUCAGAGGCCUUCCACCUCUCUGAACCUGCAACACCUAUGUUUUUAAGCCUAAGACAUCCCGGAACCUAUCCGAAACUCACCCGAGCCCUUAGAACUCCAAACCAAGUGUGCAUACUAACUCAAAAAAUCAUAUGGACCUAUUAAUGUGAUCACAUCAUCAAAAUAACAUGUAAAAUCAUGAAUUAAACCUCAAAACUCAACAUUUUCCUCAAGAACUCUUAAAGUUCAUAACUCUUCAACCAGAAGUCCAACUCACGUCAAAUAAACUCCGUUUUUCACCAAAUUUCACAGUUAUCUUUCAAAUACUAUAACAAUUGUACCGGGCUCUAGAACCUAAAUACGAGCCCGAUAACAAUGGUUUCAAAUAUGAAUUCUUUUCUUUAUUCCUUAGAUAAUUCAGUAAAACAAUUUCUUUCAAAAAUUGAUUUCUAAGGGUUGGGACCUCGGAAUUCAUUUCCUAGCAUACGCCCAAGUCCCAUAUUUUAUUCCGGACCUCCCGGGAUUGUCGGAACACGGAUCUGGGUCCGUUUGCUAAAAAUGUUGACCAAGGUCAACCAUAAUCAAAGUUUUAACUCUAAAAUUUCUAUUUCUCAUAUUUUCACAUAGAAGGCUUUCCGAAUAUAGGUCCGGACCACGCACGUAAAUCAAGGUGGGGUAAAAAGGGAGGUUUUUAGGCCUCGGAACACUGAAUGAACUUGCAACACAAGUGAUGACCUUUUGGGUCAUCACAUUCUCUACCUCUAAAACAACCGUUCAUCCUCGAGCGGACAUAAGAAGGAAGUACCUGAGUCGGGAAAAAGAUGGGGAUAAUGGCUCCACAUAUCGGACUCGGACUCCCAGGUCGAUGCCUCAGCGGGCUGACCUCUUCACUGAACACGAAUAGAAGGAAAAAUCUUCGAUCUCAAUUGACGAACAUGCCGGUCUAGAAUAGCUACUGACUCCUCCUCAUAAGACAAGUCCUUGUCCAACUGGAUAGUGCUGAAAUCUAACACGUGGGAUGGAUCGACGUAAUAUUUCCGAAGCAUGGACACAUGAAACACUGGAUGCAUGACUGAUAAGCUCGGCGGCAAUGCAAGUCUAUAAGCCACCUCCCACUCGAUCAAGAAUCUCAAACGGGUCAAUGAACCUAGAGCUAAGCUUGCCCUUCCUCCCAAAUCUCAUCACGCCCUUCAUAGGCGACACUGGAAGCAAUACCCACUCACCGACCAUGAAUGCCAAAUCUCGAACCUUGCGGUCGGCAUAACUCUUUUUCCUGGACUGAGCUAUACGAAGCCUAUCCUGAAUAAUUCUGACCUUGUCCAAGGCAUCCUGAACCAGAUCCGUACCCAACAACUGAGCCUCUCGCGGCUCAAACCAUCCAACCGGAGACCGGCACUGCCUACCAUAUAAAGCCUCAUAAGGAGCCAUCUGGAUACUCGACUGGUAGUUGUUGUUGUAGGCAAACUCUGCUAAAGGCAAAAACUGAUCCCACGAGCCUCCAAAGUCAAUAACACAAGCUCAGAGCAUAUCCUCAAGAAUCUGAAUAGUCCGCUCAGACCGCCCAUUUGUCUGAGGAUGAAAUGUUGUGAUCAACUCAACUUGAGUGCCCAACUCUCGCUGAACUACUCUCUAGAAACAUGAGGUAAAAAGCGUACCUUGAUCCGAAAUGAUAGAUACGGGCACACCAUGAAGGCGGACAAUCUCCCGAAUAUAGAUCUCAACUAACUUCUCGGAAGAAUAAGAGGCUACCAUAGGAAUGAAGUGCGUUGACUUGGUCAGCCUAUCAACAAUGACCCAUACUGCGUCGAACUUCCUCCAAGUCUACAGGAGUCCAACAACGAAAUCCAUAGUGAUCCGCUCCCACUUCCACUCGGGAAACUCAAUCCUCUGAAACAAGCCACCAGGCCUCUGAUGCUCAUACUUAACCUGCUUACAAUUCAAACACCGAGCCACAUAUGCAAUGAUAUCCUUCUUCAUUCUCCGCCACCAAUAAUGCUGCCGCAAAUCUUGAUACAUCUUCACGGCGCCCGGAUGGAUAAAGUACCUGGAACUAUGAGCUGUGUCACACCUCCCUUUUUCCUAUCCCCCGAGAAGGGAGUAUAUGGGAGUUUUUUCCAAUUUAAGUGACAAUCGAAACAGAAUUAUUUAUUUAAAAUUCAGAGUCGCCACUUGAGAUAAUUUAUGGUGUCCCAAGUCACUGGUUUAAAUCCCAAAUCGAGGAAAGAUUGACUGUGUUUUACAGUCCGCGAACACAGAUAUUCGGGUAAGGAAUUUUGUUAACCCGGGAGAAGGUGUUAGGCAUUCCCGGGUUCCGUGGUUCUAGCACAGUCGCUCAACUAUUAAUAUUAGCCCAAUUAUCUGAUUUUUGCACGUUUUAAACCUAUUGUGCCUUUUUAACCUUUUAGCUGCUUUUAUUUAUUUAAAGAAUUAAUUCAAGGUUAUUUAAAAUAUAUCGCAAGCCACGCUACAUGAAAUGCACUCGUGAUUCACGACACGUUCUAUUUAACCUUGUUGGGAAUUAGAAUCGGGUCACAUGAAAUGCACACCCGUAUUGAGAUUCACGUAUCGUGACCAUACCACGGGAACCGUACCCAUGGCCACGAUGAUUUAUUAAUCGCGCAUCAAAUUCCAACCGACUUUAGCAAACAUGAAACAUUAUGAAAAGCACUAUUACACACAAUUUCUAAAAUACUUCAUGAAAGGUUAAUAAGUGAUAUUUCUCAAUGGAAACCUUCAAACCAAGAGUCUUCCCACGCAAAAAAAAUCAUGUUUAAACAAAAGAUAGAAAGCAAAUGCUAUUAUUCUAAUCAACUCAACUUUGAAUCUACCAGGAAAUGUAGAUCAACCUGUCAUUGCUCAUCUCAUACAACCUAAACCACCAAAAGACUAUAACUAUUGUAGCCUAUCCACCAUUGAACCGAAGCUGCUCUUAAGUUUCCACCACAACAAAAGCUAAUCAACUAAUACCAAGUCAAGCUAAAGAUUGAUUUAUUAUUCACCUAUAUACAAUCUUCUUAAAAAAACCAACUUGCAAACAUAGGUAACUGCCUUAUUUAAAAAUUCUUCACUAACCCCUCAUCACACAUUCAUCAAUCCACAUUUCAAGAUUGAGAAUGCGAUGAAGAGUCUAUCAAGAGCGAUACAUUACUAUCUCAAAUCAGAAAAGCUAAAACAUAUGUUAACAAGACAUUCCAACUUGACUAAAUUAAUGGAUUGUUCCGAAUAAAUCAAAUAAAGAAGAGAAGAAUGGAAAAUGGACCUGUUUAGUCGAAACUCAUUCUUAAUGUUGAAUCGACGGAUACAAACCUCAGCUCCGCAAUUCGGCUAAGGACAACCAUAAAAAUCGAGCAAAGCCACGAACCAAAUCGGAGCGACGAACAAAACCUCAAACGACUAGUUUUAUGGCUCAAAAGCUUUGAAUCGCAAAACUCAUUAACUAAUCACAAAACUCAAAAGCUAGUGGUGUCUCCAUUCGUCGAUGAUCAAUUUCGAUGAGGCAACAACUCGAGCGACAAAACUAAAGGGGGAUCGGCUACUAUCAUCUUUCACUGUUAAGAGGAAAAUGAGAGAGAUUUUUGGGAGUUGGCGGCUGAUGUUAUCUUAGAAUCAGUGGAGAGCUGAGAGUUGAGAGCUUUUUUUUUCACGGGGUAUACGAUUGCUCCCUUUUCAACCAGAAGGAGUAGCUGCUCUCCUCUCUGUAUGUUAGGUUCGCUGUUUUCCUUUUUGUGUUGUGUGUGUGUGUUUUCGGUUGUUUCUUUAUGUCCAGAAGAUGAUAGGAGGGCUCCGUUCUUAGAGGAUUCGAGGGUUUCUGUUCAGUCCUUCAUGAAGAAAAGACUUAGUUUUUUUUUGUGCAGGUCUCCUAUCAGAAACAGCGGAUGCUUCGUGUAUCUCUGUUUGCGGCUGAUGUCCUCCUUUUUGAUUUUAGGCGUUAGGUAUAU
rnacentral:lncRNA from 1 species